rnacentral:rRNA from 1 species
AACGAACGCUGGCGGCAUGCCUAACACAUGCAAGUCGAACGAUACCUUCGGGUCUAGUGGCGCACGGGUGCGUAACGCGUGGGAACCUGCCCUUAGGUUCGGAAUAACUCCCCGAAAGGGGUGCUAAUACCGGAUAAUGUCUUCGGACCAAAGAUUUAUCGCCUUUGGAUGGGCCCGCGUUGGAUUAGCUAGUUGGUAGGGUAAAAGCCUACCAAGGCGACGAUCCAUAGCUGGUCUGAGAGGAUGAUCAGCCACACUGGGACUGAGACACGGACCAGACUCCUACGGAAGGCAGCAGUGGGGAAUAUUAGACAAUGGGCGAUAGCCUGAUCCAGCAGUGCCGCGUGAGUGAUGAAGGCCUUAGGAUUGUAAAGCUCUUUUACCCGGGAUGAUAAUGACAGUACCGGGAGAAUAAGCUCCGGCUAACUCCGUG